GGGUGUGAGGGCGAUCUGGCUGUGACAUCUGUCACCCCACUGAUUGCUAGGGUUGAUUCAGCUAAUCUGGCUGGCUAAGCAGGUAUCCCCUUCCUCCCUCACUGCUCCAUGUGCCUCGCUCCCAAAGCUGCGCCCUUGGUCAAAGAGGACGACCUUCCCAGAUAGAGGACAAUCAUUCUUCAGUCAAGGGUAUAGAAGUAGUUGCACUCCCCCCUGCUAGAACCUCCAAAUAAGCUAUCAAGGUCCAGUUGUAGGAGAACGUAAGGUAGUCAAGCUUCCAAGACUCUAGACACAUCCAAAUGAGCUGCUGUAUGUGGCAGUCUGCCUUU
rnacentral:snRNA from 1 species